GUCUACGGCCAUGCCACCCAGAACGUGCCCGAUCCCGUCUGAUCUCGGAAGCUAAGCGGGGUCGGGCCUGGUUAGUACUUGGAUGGGAGACCACCUAGGAAAACCAGACCCUGGUAAGCG
rnacentral:rRNA from 1 species